GCCAGAGACAGCUUCUCAUCUCACAAGGCAAUAAAGACCACAGAGUCCAAUAAAAUUAGCGUUGCUUAUCAGCUGUUCUUCCACCAACUGUCUUCUGGAUCCCUUUUUCCCCAGCUGCAUCUGGACUGCCAUCUGGGUGUAACUUCUGAGCCUUUACAUUCAGCCUUGCGACAUUCAACAUCUUUAAGGAGCGACACAUGGUAUUCAUCUUCUGCCUCACUGGAGUGCGAGGGAUGCCUCCUGCCAAAAUGACAGCAAGGAUGAAAUGUCAACUAACUGUCUCU
rnacentral:lncRNA from 1 species